CUCUAAGAGAGCUAAAUUAUGGAGUGUUUAGUGGUCUUGGUCAUUUGGACAAACAAAGGCAAAAGUGGAGCAAAAGAGCAAGAAGUUGAAAUUCCCGCACAAAUCGUCCACUGCUCGGUAUUUUGGCCAUAUCUCUGCGUAGGAAUUAAUGAGGAUGUAA